rnacentral:rRNA from 1 species
UACGGAGGGAGCUAGCGUUGUUCGGAAUUACUGGGCGUAAAGCGCGCGUAGGCGGCUUUGUAAGUUAGAGGUGAAAGCCCGGAGCUCAACUCCGGAACUGCCUCUAAGACUGCAUCGCUUGAAUCCGGGAGAGGUGAGUGGAAUUCCGAGUGUAGAGGUGAAAUUCGUAGAUAUUCGGAAGAACACCAGUGGCGAAGGCGGCUCACUGGACCGGUAUUGACGCUGAGGUGCGAAAGCGUGGGGAGCAAACAGG